CCCACUAAGGUAAGUAUUCUAUCCUAUUUAUUUUCAUGCAUUUUAUCAUUCUUACUUAAAAAAAAUAAAUAUUUAUUAGCAUUUCCCUUUAGCAUAUAUGCUUCAUGUAUGUUUAUAUCCCUCAUGGAAAUUAUGACUAGUUGCUUGUUAAUGUUUCUCUAGUGCCUAGUAUACAACUUAGUAUUUCUCUAAGUAUGGAUCACUUAGCUCACUUAAACUGCCAUGAACCUAAAAACUUUGUGGGUUGCAAGUGCUAGAACUAAGUCUAAGUUGUUGUGGGACAUGAGAUAGUAAGACAAGAGCUACUAUAAUAUUUUUCUAAGCAUGCAUGAUUAUCAGAGAUUUAUUCUUAAAAUGAUCAAAACCUUAAUUGUUCCUCAAUGGUGAUGAAUUCCUACCAAAGCCAUAUCUACUUUACAUAAUUGCAACCUUUCCACAUAAGCUAUUUGCUUUGUGUUGAGUGUCGUCAAGUCUUGUUGACCCUUGUUAAGAGACUUUUCAUGCUCCUAAGAUCAAGAUCACGUACACACCACAUAUAUAUAUGCUGCUUCUACACUGGAAGUACGCAACCACAUGUAUUUCGCAUCCACUAAAUAAGUUGCUCCAUACUCUAAAUGUUAGAACAUCUCUCUAAGCAUUAUUUGGUAAAUGAGACAUCAAAAGGCUAGGCAAAAUGAAAUAAAAAGAUGGACAUGUGCAAGUCCACAGAAAAAGAAAAUUGAGCACAUGAAAGCUCAUAUAUAAAAAAAAAAGAGAAGAAAAAAAUGCUAGCCAUGUCUCAAUACAUAGAGAGUCUAUCAAAUAAAGGAGCAACCUAGUCCACCAUAUAUCACACUUGCACAUCUUGAUCUGGGAGUAUGACACUUCUUUUCAAGGAUCCGAGCUUUGACUUCGCAAUACAUGCAAAGUAAGUAUGCUAUCUCCUUUCAUCCCUACCUUGAACUCCACAUAAGCCUUUUAGAAAUAGGAUGAAAUAGAGAAGGCAACUCUUACCAUAUGCCUUGGUGAGGAAUCAUACACCAUUUGAGUGACACGAGAGAACCAUAAGAGGAACAUUUAAGCUUUCUUUUGAAAAUAUCACAAAACCUCUGAUAUGAAACUUGCUAAGAAUGAGAAAGUUAGUGCUCAAGUCAAACUGUUCUGUCUCUCAACCACCUAAGACAAAGGAAAAGCCAUAAGCCCCAUAAGGGACUAAGGUAAUAGGGGUAAGUUUACAUAGCUAAAUUUUUCAUGCAAAGAGAAGAACUUUGUUGUACACAUGGUACUCUUGAAAUGUGAACAUAGUAACAAUACCUGAUCCACCGAGGCUAAGUUUGAUUGUUUGCUCGGGACGAGCAAAGGUUAAGCUUGGGGGAUCUUGUUGACGGUGGAUAUACCAUAGAAAUCCACAUACAAAACACCGUCAACAUGCCUCGGUUGCAAGGGGAAACGACAUGACAUGAACAUAUUUUAUCCAUAACUAGUUCCACUUGUACUCUUAGCUUGUUUAUGCAGGAACAACAAAUUCAAGACAUUAUUUGACAAAGCCAACAUCAGAAUCAUUAAGAGGAGAUCGAGGGGACAACAGGUGACACCCUGGGCCCACAGGGAGGGGGUCGCCCGACCCCUCUUUGGUGGGACCCAGGUGUGCCACCUAGUCCACCGACAUAAGGGACCCCUGUGGACACUGCUGGUGGGCCCGGAGGCCCAGAAGUGGGGUCGCCCGACCCCACAUCAAAGGCGGUUCCAGGGUCGGUGGCCUCCCACCGACCUUCCCCACAUGUCCCACAUGUUGAUUUGCCCCUGCCGUUGAUCAAAUGGGGGUUGUGAGGUCGGUUUGAUCCAAGGGUGGAGAGAAGAUGUCACGCGGAUCGAUGACGUGGCGAUGGAGUAACCCCUACUCCAUCUCCCUCUAUAAAAGGCAGCCUCCAUCCUUCAUUUCAAGUGUGCAAUUCCAAGGCCAAGUGCAUUACAAGUUCCAAGCAUACAAGUAGAGUAGUAGUUAGUCUAGAGUGGGAGUUAGAGUCGAGUCGAGCGAAGCUCGGGGUCUCCGGAGUCGUCUUCUGGAGAGUCUGGUAUAGCUCUUGUACCUUUCUACUUUUGUAAGACUUUCCUUUUAUUAAUAUAUUAUUCUUACUUUACUUUACUGAGUUCUUACUUAGUGCAAGUCUUUUAGUCUUGUUGUGCAUUUACUUUAGUAAUAUAGUUGUCUUAGUGAAGUUAGUGACCUGUAACCACUCCUGUGUGUGCAUCAUCGUCCUAUCUUGUAUAGGAGCUCUAGCUAGCUGCAACUAGUUAGCGUUGUAGGAUUAAGUGUGAGCGUGGUGCUCAUACUUAAGAUUACCUUUGAUUACCGCUGGCUUGAACGGAAAGUAGGAGCGCACUCCCUAGUAGGUGACAGAUCGUGGGCGGCAUUAGGUUCUCCUCACGUACAGGCUAGUUCUUAAAAGGUAAGGCGUCCAUAAGCCCAAUAGUCGCUUUCGGUAAGGGGUUAGGUGAAAAACCUUCUAAGCGUCUUACCAGCUCGGUUAUCCCUCGCACACAGUUAGUAAGGCUCUAGCGUAGUUAAGACAAUUAUCUAUUAAAGUAAGUCACAGAAGUCAAGUUAGAUACAUAGGAGUCCUUUACUCACUCGUUGUCCUCCCACCUAGCUAACUCUACCAUUUACCUUUAGCAUAGGACCUUGGAUUCACCACUACCCUUCCUAUUCGUUAUUUACCACCCUUAAUCACUAGUUGAUACUAGAUAACUCAAGGAAUCUCAUUCCCCUUUUUGUUAAACACACUUAGCCGCUUUCCCUUGGGAAAAUAUAAAUUACGAUACCUUGGAAUACUCCUUGGUGAAGUGCUACAGCGGUACAUUCUGUGCGCUUGCGGAAUUAUCCAAUAGUAAAUAGAGUUACCCUACCAGGGCACUUCUGGCGCCGUCGCCGAUAUCCGGUGGUUGCGUUAAGAAGUGUCAACAGGACACCACAAGAACCUACCCACAAGUGAGGUAACUCAAUGACACAAGCAAUCCACUAGAGUUACCUUUCGGCUCUCCGCUAGGAAGGUACAAGACCCCUCACAAUCACCGGGAGAUGGCCACGAACAAUCACCAACUCGUGCCAAUCCUCCUCCGCUGCUCCAAGCCGUCUAGGUGGCGGCAACCACCAAGAGUAACAAGAAAACAGCAGCUAGAACGAUCCUCAAGUACCACUAGAUGCAAUCACUCAAGCAAAUGCACUUGGAAUCACUCCCAAUCUCACAAAGAUGUAUAAUCUAUGAAGGAGAUGAGUGGGAGGUGUUUGCUUAGGCUCACAAGGAUGUCUAGUAGUCAAGAAUGCCAAGAGGGUGAGCCCUAAGCCGGCCAACAACUAUUUAUAGACCCCUCAAACAAAAAGAGUCGUUGGCUCUCUCACUAGGUCUAACUCGGGGUCACCGGACGCUCUUAAAGGGGCACCGGACGCUCAACACCUGCGUCCGGUGCUCCAACGUCAGCCGCGUGUCAGUAUCUAACGGUAACCUGCAGAGCACAGGACGCUGAGCAAGUUAGCACCGGACGCGUCCGGUGCACACCGGACUCAUGCGCAGAGAGUUCCGCAAACCUGCGGGUCACCGGACGCUAAGCACCGGUAGCGUCCGGUGCUCACCGGACCCAUGCGCAGAGAUGGUUGCAAAACGCCCGCACACCGGACGCUAACCACCGGACUCUCUCUGGUGCGUCCGGUGCACUCUGCUGCACCCGACAGCACACCGGACCCUAAAGGCCAGCGUCCGGUGCCUCCGCGCAGAGCGUCCGGUGAGUGUUUCCUACUGAGAAACACUCCCGCGACUUCUCCAAAACUCCCACCGGCGCAAUAGAAAAUAUGCACUUCAUUUUCUUAAAAAGCGUCGAAUCAAACUCCACCUCCUUCUCAAAGUGUGCCAACACCACAAAGUGUAAACCAACAUGUGCACGUGUGUUAGCAUUUUCACAAUUAUUUUCUUCGAAGGAGUUAAGUUAGCUCACUAGGUUCUAAAUGCAUGCACAUGAACAAUGACACCUAGUGGCACUCGAUAACCGCAUAGCCAAAGAAUUCCCCUAUUUAUAGUACGGCUAUCUAUCCUAAAUGUGAUCACACCCUCUAUGGUGUCUUGAUCACCAAAAUCAAAACCCUAAGCAAUACCUUUGCCUUGAUCUCCAUAGAGUUUUGUUUUUCUCUUUCUUCUUUUGCAAGUUGAGCACUUGAUCAUCUUGUGGUCAUCACCAUCAUCACCAUGAUCAUCACUUGCUCCAUCACUUGGCAUGUGUUGACGGUCCUUAAGUAUCAAAUUUAAUUAUCAAAUAAACAAAGAAAAGGAUCCAAAUGAAAUCAAUAUCUAGACUUAGGGUUUUAUCUGACAGAAUUCCACGAGUUUUGGUGUUUGUCUAUUUCUGCAGGGGGUUAUCAGGAAAUAAGGAAGAAAGGCCCACAUGUCGGGAUUACAUAGAGAUAUCAAUGCACCGCGCAAUUUAUUACCAUCUAGAAGACUCCAGAAGCCACGGGAAGGAAGCGGGGGCCGAAAGGGGCCAGGCCCAGGGCGCCCGCCCUGGUGACCUGGGCGCCCGCCCACCUCUGGAAGCCCUUCGGGACUCUCUUCGCACACGACGUUCCACCGACCUAUUGGAUCAAGGAAAACAUAGUACCACCUCGCCUACCGACCCAAAAACGCAUAGAGGAGGAGGACUAUAUAAGGAGACCCCCCUGGCCCCAGGAGAAGACAAGAAAUUAUCAUAGAGAUUGAGGGGUGCCCUCGAAGGAAAACCUCUUCUCUAAUUAAUAUUUCUGUUUAGGCUUAGCAACCAAUGUAAAGUAGAAAUAGAUCUUCUAGUUUCUACUAGAUUGAGAGAGAUAGAGUGGAGGUGUAGAUUGGAGGAAGCCCGGCCUGUCGGUGUCUACUCCAAGCUUGUACCUGCGGGAUCAAGUUCUCCUAACCCGAAGCUUGCUCCUAGGAUUCUUCAGUAUUUCGACUUCUAAAUUCUAGUAAGUUCUUGUUUUAUUGUUCUUAUGGUUUAUGAGUUUACUUUAAUCUCUUCGCGUAGAGUUUAGAGUAAUCAUUGCUGGCGUAAACGUGGUGUUUAGGCUGGGGUACUCAUAGAUAUUCCCUGACUAGCUGGACCGUGGUAGUAGUGAGGAACGUGACAAUUCCGAGUUACCUUUGCAGAUCACAUCUCGUUAGCAGGAAGGAUAGGGUUUAUAGGUGCGGGUUGAACAUCCUUUGUGGUGUCUAGAUUCCGUUAGCCUCCCCAUUAGAACAGCAGAUCAUUGUUGACGGUGUAUAUACCAUAGAAAUCCACAUACAAAACACCGUCAACAUGCCUCGGUUGCAAGGGGAAAUGACAUGACAUGAACAUAUUUUAUCCAUAACUAGUUCCACUUGUACUCUUAGCUUGUUUAUGCAGGAACAACAAAUUCAAGACAUUAUUUGACAAAGCCAACAUCAGAAUCAUCAAGAGGAGAUCGAGGGGACAACAGGUGACACCCUGGGCCCACAGGGAGGGGGUCGCCCGACCCCUCUUUGGUGGGACCCAGGUGUGCCACCUACUCCACCGACAUAAGGGACCAUUGUGGACACUGCUAGUGGGCCCAGGUGGUCAGGAGUGGGGUCGCCCGACCCCACAUGUAAGGCGGUUUCAGGGUCGGUGGCCUCCCACCGACCUUCCCCACAUGUCUCACGUGUUGGUUUGCCCCUGCCGUUGAUCAAAUGGCGGUUGUGAAGUCGGUUUGAUCCAAGGGUGGAGAGGCAUGAUCACACGGAUCGAUGACGUGGCGGUGGAGUAGCCCCUACUCCACCUCUCCCUAUAAAUAGAGGCUGAUUUCACCCUUCCAAGGCAUGAUGAAUUCAAGGUUCAAGUAUCCAAGCUAGAUACAAGUGAGUAGUAGUAGUAGUAGUCUAGUGUGGGAGUUAGAGUUGAGUCGAGCGAAGCUCGGGGUCUCCGGAGUCGUCUUCUGGAGAGUCUGGUAUAGCCCUUGUAUCUUUUCUCCUGUAAGACUUGUUUUCUUAAUAUAUUCUCUUUCUACUUUUCUAAGUAUUACUUUGUGCAAUAUUAUUCUUGCAAUAGUAUUGUAGUGUUCUAUCUUGUCCUUUAGUAGUUACAUAUUAGAUUGUGAACCUGUAACAAGCUCGUGGCUGUUUCCCAUCGCCUUUAGCAAGGUGCUAUAGUUGUUUGAUCGCAGCUAGAGUAGUGAGAGUUAGCGUAAGCGCGGUGCUUAGGCUAGGUCUUGCCUUUGGGUGUCGCUGGCUCGGACGGAAAGUAGGGGCGCACUCCCUAGGAGGUGACAGAUCGUGGGCGGCAUUAGGUUCUCCUCACGUACGAGCUAGUUCUUAAAAGAUAAGGCGUCCAUAAGCCCAAUAGUCGCUUUCGGUAAGGGGUUAGGUGAAAAACCUUUUAAGCGUCUUACCAGCUCGGCUAUCCCUGGCAGCCAUUAGUAAGGUAUCAAUCUAGUGUGUCUCUGCUAUUUGAUUAAGAUUAGUUCACGAGAGUAGAAUUAGAUAUCCUAGGAACCUGUACUCACUCGUUGUCCUCCCACCUAGCUACUCUACUCUAGUUAUCUUGUAGUUAUCCUUUUUGAUUAUCUCUGGAUCAUCAUCAUCCCUUCCUUCACCUUUCGUUACCACCUCUCUGCACUAGUUGUAACUAAGUUGAGAUAGGAUCUCUUUUCUUACAAGCAUUUCUAGCUAUUGCUUUCCCUUGGGAAAAUAUAAAUUACGAUACCUUGGAAUACUCCCAGGUGAAGUGCUACAGCGGUACCUUCUGUGCGCUUGCGGAAUUAUCCAAUAGUUAAUAGAGUUACCACACCAGGCAUUUCUGGCGCCAUCACCGAUAUCCGGUGGUUGCGUUAAGAAGUGCCAACAAGCAUUUCUGGCGCCGUUGCCGGGGAAAGCAUAGCCUAGAAAUCUUAGUAAGAACGAAUCCGAAAAAAAAUAUCAUCAACUUAGUAUCAAUUAGUUGUAGGGGGGGUUUACCCCUUGCCUUUGUUUCUCUAUAUUGUGAAGCAGGGCAUUGUAUGAGUGAGUUCCAAUUCAAGGCCACAUUAGAAAAUCCUGAGACAUCCCGACAGAGUCCUAGACACCGUCUAGUAACUUAUCGGAGAUCCAGCUCAUACUUGAAUUCACUCAAGGAAGGAGGCUUAGCACCGACACUCUACCAGUCAAUGGCUUCCUCAUCAAUCUCCGACUUCUCAUCUCCAUCAGUUGCCCAUGUUACCAUUGGACCGAGGGUGGAGGUCGAAGAUGUCGACUUUGAGAUUAAGCCAUCACUUAUCACUAUGGUGCAAGCAAGUACAUUUAGUGGGAAGCCACAUGAAGAUGCAAAUGCACAUCUCCAACACUUUUUGGAAGUGUGUAGCACUAUUGCCAUCAGAGGGGUAACGGCCGACGCCAUCCGCCUUCGCCUAUUCCCAUUCCCAUUGCUUGGGAAGGCAAAGCAAUGGUUUUACGCUCAACCCGAUGAUGUCAACACCUGGAGAAGAUGUGCCAAUGCAUUUCUCAAGAAAUUCUUCCCAAUGGGCAAGACAUCUGCUCUGAGGGCAAAGAUUUCAAGCUUCCAACAUAAGGCAGACGAGACUAUUCCCGAAGCAUGGGAACGUCUGCAGGAGUACAUUCAAGAGUGUCCACAUCAUGGAAUUAAAGAGUGGCUCCUGAUUCAAGGUUUCUACCAUGGGCUGACUCCAGUAGCUCGUAGCCACCUUGAUGCCGCCGCAAGAGGAGCGUUUACCUCCCUCAAUGUCACUCAAGCUAAAACUCUCAUUGAGAACAUAGUGACAAAUCAAACAUGGAGAGAAGAACGCCCUCAACUCAAGAAGAGAAGCACGAAAACCAUUGAAGAGGUAAAUGAAAUAUCUCACAAGAUGGAGUUCUUGUUGAAGAAGUUGGAUGAAGGAGCCAAGGUAAAGAAAGAUCGAGAGGCCAUCCAACAAUACGCCACUGCACGUGCGAACCAACGGAGCAGGGUGCAAAAUGCAAGCCAUGAAGCUGUGCAAUCCUUCAACAAUGGACGACCAACUUCGCGCUUCCAGGGCCAAGGUAACUCUAGUAACUCUAACUGGCUUUCACUUAAAGAACUUGUCAUUAAUCAAGCUAAAAUCAAUGAAAGCAUGAACAAAAGAUUGUUAGCUAAUGACAAGACUCUUGAAUCAUUAACUGCUAAAAUGGAUUCCCUUGUUUCUUCUGUUAAGGACCAAUUAAACUUUAAUAAAAUUUUAGAGUCUCAAAUAGCACAAAUUGCUGCUACUGUUCCUUCUUCUGUAAAUUCUUGCAAUAUCUUUAAUGUGACCACGAGAGGGGGUAAGACCACUCGUGAUCCACCAUAUCCUGACAUGAAAAAAAAGACUGCAAGAAAAGAUAAGGAAGUUGAGGAAGACAAGAAAGAAGCACCAUCUAAGCAGGAAAACACCAAGUUCUAUGGAAAGACAGCUCCGCACGAGUUCUACGACACCAACAUUCUGCUGCCAUUUCCAAGAACAAGGAAGCCAACCACCGAUGAACAAUUCGGGAAGUUUGUUGAGGUAAUUCGGCAAUUAUAUGUCAAUAUUCCACUACUUGAUGCAAUGCAGGUUCCAACCUAUGCCAAGUAUUUGAGAGACAUCCUCAACAACAAACGCCCGCUGCCUACAACUGAGGUGAUUAAGCUAACAGAAGAAUGCAGCGCGGCGAUACUAAACCAACUACCAGAAAAGAAGAAGGACCCUGGAUGUCCUACCAUCGACUGCUCCAUUGGGACACAUCACUUCGAGCAUGCACUGUGCGACUUGGGAGCUAGUGUCAAUGUCAUGCCAAAGGUAAUAUUUGAUAAACUAACCCAUGCUGUUUUGUCCCCUACAUCAAUACAUUUGCAGUUAGCGGAUCAGUCAAUUCGCCAUCCUGCGGGGGUAGCUGAGAAUAUCCCCGUAAAGAUACGCGAGUUCCUGAUCCCUGUGGAUUUCGUGGUACUCGACAUGGAGGUGGAUGAAAAGACUCCACUUAUCCUGGGAAGACCAUUUCUCAGCACUGCUAAUGCACAUAUUGACGUUGGAGCCGGAGAAAUUCAAUUUACAAUCAAUGGGGCCCAGGAGAAGUUCAACUUCAAACCAAAGGUAGUGCAAUGCUCACUAAUCUUGGCAGUGGAUGUGGCAACCGUCACAUUCAUAACUAGGCCAAAGAAAAAGACCAAUCCAACGCCAAGAGCAAAGAGCAAGAAAAUAUGGAAGAAGAAGGUAAUACAACCGAUGACACCUCCGAAGAAAAUUUCUGUAUCAACUCAAGGAGGAGGUCCUGUUCUAAGGACCUGAGGUAACAGCUCUUCCAUCAAGGUAAGCCCACUGACCUUUAACUUUAAGUUACUUAUUAAACUUCCUUCAUCUUUUCCAACCCUUCUAUCAACUUGAGUUAAGACAAGUAAAGUAAAAAUAAAAACUCACUGAGCAAGGUGGACACUCACAUCUUGUGUCCUUUGCCACUUCCUGUCAUGACAUGCUAUGCUCCAUUCAAGAAAACACCAAAACAUUACCAUGUCAACUCAUGUAAUCCCACUUGAUCAACGAAUUGAACCGUGCAUGAGAAUUCUCUAACUCUUUCAUCUAUUUUUCUUGCAUGUGCUUGUUCUGUUACUAGUGUAGUGUGCCCAGCAUUACUCAAGAGUGAAAGGAGGGGUCGGCCGACCCCAUGGUUGGCCCCACUUCCUCCCCUCCUCUGGUGUAUGGCAGCACAAGUAAUGUAGGGAGAGUGAGUAUAGAAAUAAAGACUCAUAAACAUCGACACUCACCCUAGGAGCUAGAGUUUCUAGUUCUCAUCCCCUGCUUCCACUAAAACGUAAGUGAAAUUAGGAGACACUGCUAACUUAACAAAAACCAUCUUCUUCUUUCUAAAGUCACUUAAGCAACCCCUAGACAAAUCACUCUUGCUAAGUAUGGGAAAGAUACUUGCUUAAAGCCUUAAGUAAAUCAACAUUUUGAGAAGCUCAUCCCGUGAAGCAUCUCAUGAGCAAACAUCCACCCAUCUAGUCUUGUCUUGUUCCCUCCUUUCUCUUUCACCACAUUCCAAGAAGAGAUUCUUUGAGAAAACAUCCAAAAGAAAGGAGAGAGUGAGUGGAGAUGGGGAACCAGCCAUGGCACACAUUCAUCAUCAAUCUGGUGAACAGCUAGCGCAAAGAGGAGGUGGUGAUGGGGUCGCCCGACCCCCUCCCUGCAGCAUUCCUUAUUUCUUUCUUUCCCAUCCAUCUUUCCUUGACACAAGGUGUUGGCCAUUUGUGGUUUCGUGGAAAAAGAGGGGUCGGCCGACCCUGACAAAGUGCCCUCUGCACUUGUCCUCUCUUCCAUCCACUCACUCAUUCACUCACAACCAUUUUCCUCUACUAGCAACUCAAGAAAAUCAUCAACACUCUUCCUUUCACUUUCCCUAUUGCUCAAGUGUUCACUCGUCGAGAAAUCAAGAGAGGUAAUCAGCCGGUAAGAAGAGUUAAAAUCUAACCUAACCUCUCUAGUGGAAGUGGUGUUCGUUAUUUUCUUGAUCUAGCAUGAAGAAUCCACUCAAGAACAUAGGGAAGAAAGUGCGUGGAGCGUUUAGCGGAAGCUCAUCAAGGCACUCCCAUGGCACCAUGAGUUCGGUAGAAGAGUACUCCUCUCAUCAGGGACUUCCCUCUGAGACUCAUGAGGAGCAAGAGCAUGAGGCCAUGCCACAGCAAACACCACUUAAUGAAGAAGCAGCACCUCUACGGAUGCAAGAUAUAGAGACCGGACUUUUGCUCACCGUAGAAGAAAUGGAGAAGCUUAACCAUCUACGCCACCGUGAAUUCAAGCAUACCAAGGUAAUUGACCCUAAAUUCCUCAAAGACACAGGUAUGUAUGAGGAAUUCUUUGAUGUCUUUGCUGCAAUAGGAUGGGGUGAAUUUUGGGACUUUUCGGAACACCUAGGUAGCAAGAUUCUCACUCUAGAAUUUUUGAGCACCGUAAGGGUAACCGAAACAACCAUUUACUUUCGCCUAAGAAACCAAGAUUAUGAUUUCACAUGGGACCAUCUAGCUGCAUGUUUAGGCUUUAUGAAUUUUAAAACCAACGUAGAAGUUGCCACAAGGGGUUUUAAUAGACAAGAAUUUUGGCAUGAAAUAACUGGGGAGAAUCUAAUUGGAAAGACUUACCCACGUACUAGCCAUAUUUGCCAUCCCACACUACGGUUCAUGCACAAAUGGAUAGGCAUCACUCUAUUCCCUAGAGAUGACAUUCGAAUUGUGCGGGAAAUUGAUAAUAGAAUUCUAUAUGCCAUGGUGAAUAGAAUUCGUAUUGCACCGGUAAAAGCCAUGGUACAUCAUUGGAUCACUAUAGCAUGGAAGAAUGACCCAAUUGAGUUCACCUCUAUAAUUACAAAAUUGUGUGAUUACAUUUUGAUCCUUGAUGACACCAUCCAGUACAUACCCACUCCUAGAACUGUGUUAGGAAAAUAUCGUUUCAUUCAAGCAAAAGUAAUUACGCGUGGCCCCAAUGACACAAUUGAAUUUAUAUUGCGUAAAUCAAAUGCAAGACUCAUUUUGCCACAACCAGAGUUAAAAUUAUACGGGGGCCACCCGUUAAUGCCUAAUGUUCCUGGAGUUGGAGGACGUAGAAGUUUUGCAGGGCCAUUCACACGUGGACAGUCACGAGCUGAACAGCAAGAUGAUUCAGAUAAUGAGGGCACUUCCAAUGCCAUGCACACCUCCGGGACGGGGAGGAGACGUAGUGCCCGGUUGUCUCUUUCUUCUUCGCAGGAGAUUGGAAACCGCAGUCACCGUCAUGACAUGGAGCUACUCAGAUCAGGUAUGGCUACAUUGCGUACUAACCAUGAAGCCAUUCACACUGCCACUGUGGAAACCCAACAGCAAAUCCAAAAUUUUGAGGAGAGCAGCAAUAAAAACUGGUGCCAAGCCUACACAUCAUAUCACCUGCCCGUACCACCAUACAUUCCUCAACCACCACAUGCAUAUCCACCUCCUCCUGCACAAUAUCCUCCACAGCAAUAUCCUCCACCAUAUCCACCAUAUCCAUCGUAUCCACCCCAGUGAGGAAGGACAAGCUUGGGGGAGAUCCUCUCCCCCACCAAGGUAAGUAUUCUAUCCUAUUUAUUUCCAUGCAUUUUAUCAUUCUUGCUCUAAAAAAAAAUUAGCAUUUCCCUUUAGCAUAUAUGCUUCAUGUAUGUCUAUAUCCCUCAUUGAAAUGAUGACUAGUUUCUUGUUAAUGUUUCUCUAGUACCUAGUAUACAACUUAGUAUUUCUCCAAGUAUGGAUCACUUAGCUCACUUAAACUGCCAUGAACCUGAAAACUUUGUGGGUUGCAAGUGCUAGAACUAAGUCUAAGUUGUUGUGGGACAUGAGAUAGUGAGACAAGAGCUGCUAUAAUAUUAUUCUAAGCAUGCAUGAUUAUCAGAGAUUUAUUCUUAAAAUGAUCAAACCCUUAAUUGUUCCUCAAUGGUGAUGAAUUCCUACCACAGCUAUAUCUACUUUACAUGAUUGCAACCUUUCCACAUAAGCUAUUUGCUUUGUGUUGAGUGUCGUCAAGUCUUGUUGACCCCUGUUAAGAGACUUUUCAUGCUCCUAAGAUCAAGAUCACGUACACACCACAUAUAUAUAUGCUGCUUCUACACUGGAAGUACGCAACCACAUGUAUUUCGCAUCCACUAAAUAGGUUGCUCCAUACUCUAAAUGUUAGAAUAUCUCUCUCUAAGCAUUAUUUGGUAAAUGAGACAUCAAAAGCCUAGGCAAAAUGAAAUAAAAAGAUGGACAUGUGCAAGUCCACAAAAAAAAAUGAGCACAUAAAGCUCGAAGAAAAAGAAAAUGCUAGCCAUGUCUCAAUAUACAAGUAGAGAGAGUGUAGCAAAUAAAGGAGCAACCUAGUCCACCAUAUAUCACACUUGCACAUCUUGAUCUGGGAGUAUGACACUUCUCUUCAAGGAUCCGAGCUUUGACUUCGCAACACAUGCAAAGUAAGUAUGCUAUCUCCUUUCAUCCCUACCUUAAGCUCCACAUAAGCCUUUUAGAAAUAGGAUGAAAUAGAGAAGGCAACUCUAUCAUAUGCCUUGGUGAGGAAUUAUACACCAUUUGAGUGACAUGAGAGAACCAUAUGAGGAACAUUUAAGUUUUCUUUUGAAAAUAUCACAAAACCUCUGAUAUGAAACUUGCUAAGAAUGAGAAAGUUUGUGCUCAAGUCAAACUGUUCUGUCUUUCAACCACCUAAGACAAAGGAAAAGCCAUAAGCCCCAUAAGGGACUAAGGUAAUAUGGGUAAGUUUACAUAGCUAAAUUUUUCAUGC
rnacentral:lncRNA from 1 species